rnacentral:rRNA from 1 species
UGACGAGUGGCGGACGGGUGAGUAAUGUCUGGGAAACUGCCUGAUGGAGGGGGAUAACUACUGGAAACGGUAGCUAAUACCGCAUAACGUCGCAAGACCAAAGAGGGGGACCUUCGGGCCUCUUGCCAUCAGAUGUGCCCAGAUGGGAUUAGCUAGUAGGUGGGGUAACGGCUCACCUAGGCGACGAUCCCUAGCUGGUCUGAGAGGAUGACCAGCCACACUGGAACUGAGACACGGUCCAGACUCCUACGGGAGGCAGCAGUGGGGAAUAUUGCACAAUGGGCGCAAGCCUGAUGCAGCCAUGCCGCGUGUAUGAAGAAGGCCUUCGGGUUGUAAAGUACUUUCAGCGGGGAGGAAGGUGUUGUGGUUAAUAACCGCAGCAAUUGACGUUACCCGCAGAAGAAGCACCGGCUAACUCCGUGCCAGCAGCCGCGGUAAUACGGAGGGUGCAAGCGUUAAUCGGAAUUACUGGGCGUAAAGCGCACGCAGGCGGUCUGUCAAGUCGGAUGUGAAAUCCCCGGGCUCAACCUGGGAACUGCAUUCGAAACUGGCAGGCUAGAGUCUUGUAGAGGGGGGUAGAAUUCCAGGUGUAGCGGUGAAAUGCGUAGAGAUCUGGAGGAAUACCGGUGGCGAAGGCGGCCCCCUGGACAAAGACUGACGCUCAGUGCGAAAGCGUGGGGAGCAAACAGGAUUAGAUACCCUGGUAGUCCACGCCGUAAACGAUGUCGACUUGGAGGUUGUGCCCUUGAGGCGUGGCUUCCGGAGCUAACGCGUUAAGUCGACCGCCUGGGGAGUACGGCCGCAAGGUUAAAACUCAAAUGAAUUGACGGGGGCCCGCACAAGCGGUGGAGCAUGUGGUUUAAUUCGAUGCAACGCGAAGAACCUUACCUACUCUUGACAUCCAGAGAACUUUCCAGAGAUGGAUUGGUGCCUUCGGGAACUCUGAGACAGGUGCUGCAUGGCUGUCGUCAGCUCGUGUUGUGAAAUGUUGGGUUAAGUCCCGCAACGAGCGCAACCCUUAUCCUUUGUUGCCAGCGGUCCGGCCGGGAACUCAAAGGAGACUGCCAGUGAUAAACUGGAGGAAGGUGGGGGAUGACGUCAAGUCAUCAUGGCCCUUACGAGUAGGGCUACACACGUGCUACAAUGGCGCAUACAAAGAGAAGCGAACUCGCGAGAGCAAGCGGACCUCAUAAAGUGCGUCGUAGUCCGGAUUGGAGUCUGCAACUCGACUCCAUGAAGUCGGAAUCGCUAGUAAUCGUAGAUCAGAAUGCUACGGUGAAUACGUUCCCGGGCCUUGUACACACCGCCCGUCACACCAUGGGGAGUGGGUUGCAAAAGAAGUAGGUAGC